UACAGAGGGGGCAAGCGUUGUUCGGAAUUACUGGGCGUAAGGGGCGCGUAGGCGACCUGCUAAGUCGAACGUGAAAUCCCUGGGCUCAACCCAGGAACUGCGUCCGAUACUGGUUGGCUUGAAUCCGGGAGAGGGAUGUGGAAUUCCAGGUGUAGCGGUGAAAUGCGUAGAUAUCUGGAGGAACACCGGUGGCGAAGGCGACAUCCUGGACCGGCAUUGACGCUGAGGCGCGAAAGCCAGGGGAGCAAACGGG
rnacentral:rRNA from 1 species